rnacentral:rRNA from 1 species
GCACUGGAGGACCGAACCAGUUUCCGUUGAAAAGGAUUUGGAUGACUUGAGGGUAGGGGUGAAAGGCCAAUCAAACUGAGAAAUAGCUCGUACUCCCCGAAAUGUAUUGAGGUACAGCGUCGGCGUAGAGCGUGUUGGAGGUAGAGCUACCAAUAGGACUAGGGGGUGUCAUAGCCUACCGAAUCCUGAUGAACUCCGAAUGCCAAUACGUAUAGCCGGCAGUGAGGCCUGGGGUGCUAAGGUCCCCGGCCGAGAGGGAAAGAACCCAGACCAUCCGCUAAGGUCCCUAAAUUCGGACUAAGUUGAACAAAGGAGGUCCACUUGCUUUGACAGCCAGGAGGUUGGCUUGGAAGCAGCCAUUCCUUUAAAGAGUGCGUAACAGCUCACUGGUCGAGCGAGAGGGCAUCGAUAAUACGCGGGCAUCAAGUCCGGUACCGAAGCGAUGGAUUUGCACUAUGUGCAAGUGGUAGGGGAGCAUUCUAGUCAGCGGUGAAGGUGCGUCGUCAGGCGAGCUGGAGCGGCUAGAAAAGCAAAUGUAGGCAUGAGUAACGAUAAAGGGGGUGAGAAACCCCCUCCCCGAUAGACUAAGGUUUCCUGCUCAACGCUAAUCGGAGCAGGGUUAGUCGGGACCUAAGGCUACGCCGAGAGGCUACGUCGAUGGACAGCUGGUUGAUAUUCCAGCACUUAUCUUUUGGAGUGAUGCAGUGACGCAGAAGUGAAAGUACCGCGAGCGGACGGAAGUGCUCGUUAAAGGGCGUAGGUAUAGGGAUGGUAGUCAAGUACGCCGUCUUUGCUGAAACCUGAUAGUACCUAGCGGCCUCGGCCAAUGGGAUAGUGUACCUAAUCAGACUGCCAAGAAAACCUGCUAAGCGUUUACUGAAGAAUAACCCGUACCGCAAACCGACACAGGUAGUCAAGGAGAGUAUCCUGAGGCGCUCGAGUGAAUCACGGCCAAGGAACUCGGCAAAAUGGUCCUGUAACUUCGGGAGAAGGGACGCUUCCUUGUAGCAAUACAAGAAGCCGCAGUGAAAAGACCCAAGCGACUGUUUAACAAAAACACAUGGCUUUGCUAACGCGUAAGCGGACGUAUAAGGCCUGACACCUGCCCGGUGCUGGAAGGUUAAGAGGGGAGCU